GACAGAGGGUGCAAACGUUGUUCGGAAUUACUGGGCGUAAAGCGAGUGUAGGCGGUUUGGUAAGUCGGAUGUGAAAGCCCCGGGCUCAACCCGGGAAGUGCACUCGAUACUGCCAAGCUAGAGUAUCGGAGAGGUUGGUGGAAUUCUCGGUGUAGAGGUGAAAUUCGUAGAUAUCGAGAGGAACACCGGUGGCGAAGGCGGGUCUCUGGGCCGAUGACUGACGCUGAGGAGCGAAAGCGUGGGGAGCAAACAGG
rnacentral:rRNA from 1 species